UUUUUAGAGUUUUUCAUUGUGGGCCUAAAUCUUUGGAUAUGGUUGAGCAUUCCUUCUCUGUUUGUUCCUUUGCUAUCUCACUACAAUGCUCUUUCUAACUGUACUUUGUUGACUGUACAGCAUCCCAGGAUAUUCUCCUAACACAUAGGUAGCUACACACCUCUCAUGUGAGUCAGUACAUGAGAGACCUUUCCACAGAAAGAGCUCUGCUUUGGAACAGAAACCAAUGACAGUUGUGCCCUUUCCCUACCAAAAGGAAACCAAGGGACAGGCAUGAAGCAGUCCAUCCAGUUUCACAGUGAACAUUUGGAACAUCACAGAGCUGAAAACACAUUUCCUUUGUCCUUUCUGAUACAUUAACUUAAAAGCCACUGAACAGCAGUUUUCAAAGAGAGCAGAGGGAAAAAAAAGAGGCCUGAUGUCUAUGUCAAUUAAUGCCUAUUACUUUUCUUUCUGAAGCUAUCAAAAGGAAAAUCUUGGUUAUAAGAAUCUGUGCUGCCUACAUCCUAUCCAGUGUAAAAGGCAAUGCACUUCCUUAAUGUACGAAAGUGUCCUCUAUCCUCCCACAGUCUCACAGACUGAAGGGAAAUGCAUCAUUUGAUGUAAAUCUUCUGAAGGAAACACAAACAGUCCCCGUGGAGAGAUAACCUCUUCUUCUAUCUGCAUCUGUCAAGCUCGACUCAUGACAGAAUUAUGACCCCAAAAUAAUAUUUUAAUAAGUGUUUACAUGCUACCACUCCCCAAAGAGUAGGCUGAUAACACUCUUCCUCAGAACUAAUUACGCUUCAAGCCGAGGCGGCCCUGAGCGGUGCCGCAGUGACAGCAUUGCAUGGCUGGGCCUUCUGCGGGCGUGGGGCUCCUCCCGGCGGACGUCUGUGCAAAACCACAUGGAUUCCCAUGAACAGACAAAAACUGAAGUCUUAUGCCUACGCGCCUGGAAUUUCCGCUACCUAGAUGAGAUACACUAAAAAUAUGGGAACGUGAUUUGCCUCCCUUCCUUUCUCAUCUCCCUCCUCACAAGAGGUGAGGAGUUUUUCCUUACUGUGGAGUUCAGGAUUAGAGCGCUAGAAAGGUAACACAGCAGCAACGAUUUGAUGUUAUCAUCUUGUGUUAGGCUGUGAAGCAGACAUCAGACCUUGCCUUUUCAGGUGUACAAGUCAGACAACACAAGGAGGAGCUGCCACGCGGACCUGAAGAUGUGGGUAGGAAAUACAGAAGCCUUGGCUUUCUCCAUUUCACCUGGCAAGUCUCAGACCAGUUUCUUUCUGCCCCAGACCACUGGAGCGGAGUGAAAAUGAAUGAAGAUUUAAAUCUUGCCCUUUUAAUCUUCAUUUCUAAAACAGGCAGCUUCCAUUCCUGACAGGAGGUCUUCAGCUUUGCAGAGAUAAGAGGAAAGAUUAAGUCCGUGCCAGUAGGAUCAUCAGGAGAUAGGUGCAGUUCAGCUUUUGAAAUCCCCAUAUCAAGACUUAGUCGAUACUGCUAUUAAAAAAUAUUCCCCCAGCAGUCCUGCAAACAACAGGUGUCUUGAGCACAGCAGUGAUUUGAGCUAUCUAGCACACAACCCUUUCCAAAACAGACUCAUACAGAGCCAGAGUAUAAUCUGCUAUUGCAUGAUUAUUCACCAGAGCAUCAAAUAUUCAUUCCUCAAACACAAGCAACUAAAAAGGAGCUGACAAGACCAGUUUUCUCAAACAAACAGGCCCCAUAACCCACUCAAGAAAAACAUCAGCCAGAUUUCUCUUACCUGCAAUGUGCCAGUCAGAAGUUAAUUUAGACCUCUCUGCCCCAACAGCAAAAAUCACUCUGUAGCCAGAAUGUACGCUUAG
ensembl:lncRNA